rnacentral:hammerhead_ribozyme from 1 species
AUCCAGUUGACGAGUCCCAAAUUAGACGAAACGCACGUUCUGGAU